CCUACGGGUGGCAGCAGUCGAGAAUCAUUCACAAUGGGGGAAACCCUGAUGGUGCGACGCCGCGUGGGGGAAUGAAGGUCUUCGGAUUGUAAACCCCUGUCAUGUGGGAGCAAAUUAAAAAGAUAGUACCACAAGAGGAAGAGACGGCUAACUCUGUGCCAGCAGCCGCGGUAAUACAGAGGUCUCAAGCGUUGUUCGGAAUCACUGGGCGGAAAGCGUGCGGAGGCUGUUUCGUAAGUCGUGUGUGAAAGGCGCGGGCUCAACCCGCGGACGGCACAUGAUACUGCGAGACUAGAGUAAUGGAGGGGGAACCGGAAUUCUCGGUGUAGCAGUGAAAUGCGUAGAUAUCGAGAGGAACACUCGUGGCGAAGGCGGGUUCCUGGACAUUAACUGACGCUGAGGCACGAAGGCCAGGGGAGCGAAAGGGAUUAGAUACCCUGGUAGUC
rnacentral:rRNA from 1 species